UACGGAGGGGGCUAGCGUUAUUCGGAAUUAUUGGGCGUAAAGGGCUCGUAGGCGGCCAACUAAGUCCGACGUGAAAUCCCCAAGCUUAACUUGGGAACUGCGUCGGAUACUGGAUGGCUUGAAUUCGGGAGAGGGAUGCAGAAUUCCAGGUGUAGCGGUGAAAUGCGUAGAUAUCUGGAGGAAUACCGGUGGCGAAGGCGGCAUCCUGGACCGACAUUGACGCUGAGGAGCGAAAGCUAGGGGAGCAAACGGG
rnacentral:rRNA from 1 species